CGUGUAGGCGGCCUCUUAAGUCUGAUGUGAAAGCCCGGGGCUUACCCCCGGAAGGGCAUUGGAAACUGGGAGGCUAGAGUACCGGAGAGGAAGGUGGAAUUCCUGGUGUAGCGGUGAAAUGCGUAGAUAUCAGGAGGAACACCGGUGGCGAAGGCGGCCUUCUGGACGGAUACUGACGCUGAGACGCGAAAGCGUGGGGAGCAAACAGGAUUAGAUACCCUGGUAGUCCACGCCGUAAACGAUGGGCACUAGGUGUUCGGGGUAUUGACCCCCUGAGUGCCGCAGCUAACGCAUUAAGUGCCCCGCCUGGGACUACGGCCGCAGGUUAAA
rnacentral:rRNA from 1 species